CCAGUAUAACUCCCAAAUGAUCACAUUUUAUGCCCAUUUAAUCUCAGUCGUUGGAUCUCAUCAAUCCAACGGCCUAGAACUGGUUAGUCCAUCACAUAUAAUCGUCCGAAGAGAGACCAAGCCCCCCAUCAGACCCCCUCUCACUUCGUCUCCCUCGUCUCAAACAUCGAAACCCUAGCUGCCCUUCAUUCCUUCACUAGCUCCAACGCAAACCACCUACCGAAAAUCGCCUCAUAAUAAGUCUGAUGGCCAAACAGUCCCAAAAGGAUAUCACAAACUCCAUUGCAUCUCCACAUUCCAAAUAUUCACUUCCCUUCCUUCAAAUGAAACCCAUUUUGUUCGAAUCUUAAAUUAGAGAUUCGUCUAAAACUUGAACCGCUCCAAAUUAUUUCAAAUUCACACCCUAUAACGUCUAGCCUUAUCAGAACCCCAAAC
rnacentral:lncRNA from 1 species